GGUUCCAUAGUGUAGUGGUUAGCACAUCUGCUUUACACGCAGAAGGUCCUGGGUUCGCACCCCAGUGGAGCCA
rnacentral:tRNA from 1 species